UACGUAGGGUGCAAGCGUUGUCCGGAAUUAUUGGGCGUAAAGCGCUCGUAGGCGGUCUGUCGAGUCGGAUGUGAAAUCCCGGGGCUCAACCCCGGGCCUGCAGUCGAUACGGGCAGACUAGAGUGCGGUAGGGGAGACUGGAAUUCCUGGUGUAGCGGUGGAAUGCGCAGAUAUCAGGAGGAACACCGGUGGCGAAGGCGGGUCUCUGGGCAGUAACUGACGCUGAGGAGCGAAAGCGUGGGGAGCGAACAGG
rnacentral:rRNA from 1 species